GGGUAGGGAUACCCGCUGAACUUAAGCAUAUCAAUAAGCGGAGGAAAAGAAACCAACAGGGAUUGCCUCAGUAACGGCGAGUGAAGCGGCAAGAGCUCAGAUUUGAAAGCUAGCAUCUUUGAUGUUCGCAUUGUAAUCUGUAGAGGAGUGUUCGAGCAUAGCUUUGACCCAAGUUCUUUGGAACAAGAUGUCAUGGAGGGUGAGAAUCCCGUUCAUGGUUGUUGUCUUAUGCUUAUGUGAAUCUCCUUCAAUGAGUCGAGUUGUUUGGGAAUGCAGCUCUAAAUGGGUGGUAUAUUUCAUCUAAAGCUAAAUAUCAGCAGGAGACCGAUAGUGCACAAGUAGAGUGAUCGAAAGAUGAAAAGAACUUUGGAAAGAGAGUCAAACAGUACGUGAAAUUGUUGAAAGGGAAGCACUUGCACCCAGACUUGCUUUCAGUUGAUCAACUAUCAUUUUUGAUUGUGCACUUAAUUGUAAGCAGGCCAGUAUCAGUUAGAGUGGUGGGGCAAAGGUGUUGAGAAUGUAGCUCUUUCGGGAGUGUUAUAACUCUUCAUGUCAUAUCAUCUGCUCUGACUGAGGUUCGCACUUUGGUGAGGAUGCUGGCUUAAUGGGUGCAAGUGACCCGUCUUGAAACACGGACCAAGGAGUCUAACAGUUGUGCAAGUGUUUGGGUAUAAAACCCUUAUGCGUAAUGAAAGUAAAUGGAGGUGAGAACCGCAAGGUGCAUCAUCGACCGAUCCUGAUGUCUUCAGAUGGAUUUGAGUAAGAGCAUAGCUGUUGGGACCCGAAAGAUGGUGAACUAUGCCUGAAUAGGGUGAAGCCAGAGGAAACUCUGGUG
rnacentral:rRNA from 1 species